CAAAUUUUAAAAUUAAAAUGUUUUAAAAUAUAUUUUAUAAUGAAUUAUGAAAAUAUGAUUUUUUUAAAAAAAGAUUUGUAUUAGAAAAUUGUUUUUUUAUUAUUGACAAGUGAACACAUUUUUCAUGUUUUCCAUGGAAAACAAAAACUGGAGUUUUUUUGGAAAAUAAAAAACAAAAAUCUGGUUUCUACAAGUAAACAGACCUUUAUUGAUCCUUUGGUAAGCUGUUUCCUGACAUUUUCUUAAUUUUGCAGAAUCGACACACAUUUGAGAAG
rnacentral:misc_RNA from 1 species